UAGCGCAUCACCUUGCCAAGGUGAGGGUCGCGAGUUCGAGUCUCGUCAUCCGCU
rnacentral:tRNA from 1 species